AGCCUUUUACCGUUUUUCAAGUAAAGAGAAGUGCUCAGGCACUCAAACGUAACUGGCAAAAAGUUACUGCUACAUCGCGCAGCAUCGGAAUCCGCCAUUGUUUUAACUACCUUACAAUUGUUUCCAUAAAUUCCCCUAUUCUGUCGCCGGAAUCUUCAAAAAAGACAACUUGAUCCGACGUCGCCUUAAAGUGAUUCAAUCAAAAGAAAAGCUUCGCAUCAAUCAUGCUCCAAAUUGGAGAAGAAACCCCUUCGAGUCACAGUGUCCUAAAAAUCAUCAAGCGGGACAAGACACGCCAUUUUCUGCUAUCUAUAAGGUUGUGAAGACUUUUUAUGCAUCUCCCAGUCGAGUAAAUUUUCAUUUGGGCUCAAAAAACACAAGCCUUCCUAUUUCCAGGAAACUAUGGUGACAAUGAGUUUUUCUUCAAUUUUCUGACAUGUUCACUAAUAUGUAUACAGGAAGUUGAGACAACACCUUCCUAUCCAGACAUCUGUUUUGCAAUAGAUGAUUUUGACUCUACUUUUGAUGCAGUGGUCUUGACCGAUACGGAUCAUUGCUAUAGUGUGCUUCUUAAUGCACUUGAUGGGGCAGCAUUUCCUAGUGAAAAGGGUACAAAUGAUAACCCUUCCAGAAACAAAUCACCAUUAAGAGUAGAUACAAAUUCUGUGAAGACGAAAAAUAGUAAGGAUUGGAUCCUUUCACACCUUUGUGAUAAUUUAUGUGUAUUGGUUCCAUGAUCAACCAGAACCUUCACUUUUGAAGGAGCUCACACUUUUUUCUGCAUUUGUCAGCUUUCAAAUGGUUCGGGAUGCAUAUGAUGGUACGCUAUGGAAUUAGUCUUCCUAACAAUUGCCUUCGGUUUUUUGUUCAUUCAGAAUUCUGCAAAAAUCUAGGGCAUCGUUUAAUAAAUAUUUUUCUUCUUUGUGUUUAUGAAAAUGUGACGAGGGAAUUGAUUUAUAUGUGGAACACACAAGAGUGGCUUAUUUGGCAUUGGAUUCUGUUCUUUGGAUCAAGCAACAACUAACUUACCUUUUAGUAAUCUUGCAAUGGGUUUGAACCCCUGUAGGUUCCUUUUGAUCAACAUUUGUAGAGAAACAUGUGCAAAAAAUAUGUAAACUUCCAGUUCAUUUCAUGUUGAGUAAGCUUGGUCUAGUUUAAAGGGUGCUAGAAAUGUAGACUGCUUAAAUUAUGUUCUGAACAGCCUAUCCUUGGCGUAUAUUUUAUUCUUAAUGUGUUCUUCAUGCUUAUUUAGUACUCAUUUCAUAUCAUUUGCCUUUCACAGCUGGGAGCUCCGGAUUUGGAAGUCUGCUGUCAAUUCGUUAUUCGUCUGGCAAGAAAGAUAGACUUUACAUGAAAGGUCCUGGAGAACAUGGGGAAGUUGAAGUGGUUGUUUAUGGUGUCGUGGGUCAGUAAUUGUAACACCCUUAAUCCAUACUCGACCCGGAUACGAA